rnacentral:rRNA from 1 species
UACGUAGGGGGCAAGCGUUGUCCGGAUUUAUUGGGCGUAAAGAGCGUGUAGGCGGCCAGACAGGUCCGUUGUGAAGACUCGAGGCUCAACCUCGAGACGUCGACGGAAACCGUCUGGCUAGAGUCCGGAAGAGGAGUGUGGAAUUCCUGGUGUAGCGGUGAAAUGCGCAGAUAUCAGGAAGAACACCUAUGGCGAAGGCAGCACUCUGGGACGGUACUGACGCUGAGACGCGAAAGCGUGGGGAGCGAACAGG